rnacentral:rRNA from 1 species
AAGUACAGCCAUACUAUCCUGAAAGCACCCGAUCUCAUCUGAUCUUAGAAGCUAAGCAGGAGUAGGCCUGGUUAGUUCUUGGAUGGGAGAAAAAGGGGAAUUAGUAAUAU